AAUUUAGAACUCAUGGGAGUCAACUUACAUAAACGGAUUGGUUACAAGAUAGACCAUCAAACAGAGAAAUGCCAUCUGAAGAAGGAACAUUAAAUGGUCUCACUUCUCCAUUUAAGCCAGCUAUGGAUACAAAUUACUAUUAUUCAGGUCAGUAAUAUUAAAAACAAAAUUUAAUAGUAUUUUGAACCUUUACAGAUUUCAUCAUUUCUCUCUCAUUUUAUGCAGCUGUGGAAAGAAAUAACUUGAUGAGGUUAUCACAGAGCAUUCCAUUUACACCUGUGCCUCCAAGAGGGGAGCCUGUCACAGUGUAUCGUUUGGAAGAGAGUUCACCCAACAUACUAAAUAACAGCAUGUCUUCUUGGUCACAACUAGGCCUCUGUGCCAAAAUAGAGUUUUUAAGCAAAGAGGAGAUGGGCGGAGGUUUACGAAGAGCUGUCAAAGUACAGUGUACCUGGUCAGAACAUGAUAUCCUCAAAUCAGGGCAUCUUUAUAUUAUCAAAUCUUUUCUUCCAGAGGUGAUUAAUACAUGGUCAAGUAUUUAUAAAGAAGAUACAGUUCUGCAUCUCUGUCUGAGAGAAAUUCAACAACAGAGAGCAGCACAAAAGCUUACAUUUGCCUUUAAUCAAAUGAAACCCAAAUCCAUACCAUAUUCUCCAAGGUUCCUUGAAGUUUUCCUGCUGUAUUGCCAUUCAGCAGGACAGUGGUUUGCUGUGGAAGAAUGUAUGACUGGAGAAUUUAGAAAAUACAACAAUAAUAAUGGAGAUGAGAUUAUUCCAACUAAUACUCUGGAAGAGAUCAUGCUAGCCUUUAGCCACUGGACUUACGAAUAUACAAGAGGGGAGUUACUGGUACUUGAUUUGCAAGGUGUUGGUGAAAAUUUGACUGACCCAUCUGUGAUAAAAGCAGAAGAAAAGAGAUCCUGUGAUAUGGUUUUUGGCCCAGCAAAUCUAGGAGAAGAUGCAAUUAAAAACUUCAGAGCAAAACAUCACUGUAAUUCUUGCUGUAGAAAGCUUAAACUUCCAGAUCUGAAGAGGAAUGAUUAUACGCCUGAUAAAAUUAUAUUUCCUCAGGAGGAGCCUUCAGAUUUGAAUCUUCAGCCUGGAAAUUCCACCAAAGAAUCAGAAUCAACUAAUUCUGUUCGUCUGAUGUUAUAAUAUUGAUAUUACUGAAUCAUUGGUUUUGCCUGCACCUC
rnacentral:sRNA from 1 species